GACCUUGUUAGUUCGGAAGGUAGAACAUCGUUCUAGAAAUGCGGAGGUCGCGGGUUCGAAUCCCAGCCGCGGUCA